UACGUAGGGUGCGAGCGUUAAUCGGAAUUACUGGGCGUAAAGCGUGCGCAGGCGGUUAUGUAAGACAGAUGUGAAAUCCCCGGGCUCAACCUGGGAACUGCAUUGUGACUGCAUAGCUAGAGUACGGUAGAGGGGGAUGGAAUUCCGCGUGUAGCAGUGAAAUGCGUAGAUAUGCGGAGGAACACCGAUGGCGAAGGCAAUCCCCUGGACCUGUACUGACGCUCAUGCACGAAAGGCGUGGGGAGCAAACAGG
rnacentral:rRNA from 1 species